AGCAGCCGCGGUAAUUCCAGCUCCAAUAGCGUAUAUUAAAGUUGUUGCAGUUAAAAGCUCGUAGUUGAAUUUCGGGGUUUAUCCGUUGGUCGGGCUUUUGGGUCUGUACUGGCGUGAUGGAUUCCUACCUUCUGAAUAACCAGCAUGCCAUUAAUUUGGUGCGUUGGGGAAGCAGGACUGUUACCUUGAAAAAAUUAGAGUGCUUAAAGCAGGCUAUUGCCUGAAUACGUUAGCAUGGAAUAAUGAAAUAGGACGCAUGGUUCUAUUUUGUUGGUUUCUAGGAUCACCGUAAUGAUUAAUAGGGAUAGUUGGGGGCAUUAGUAUUCAAUUGUCAGAGGUGAAAUUCUUGGAUUUAUUGAAGACUAACUUCUGCGAAAGCAUUUGCCAAGGAUGUUUUCAUUAAUCAAGAACGAAAGUUAGGGGAUCGAAGACGAUCAGAUACCGUCGUAGUCUUAACCAUAAACUAUGCCGACUAGGGAUCGGACGAUGUUAAUUUUUAAUGACUCGUUCGGCGCCUUAC
rnacentral:rRNA from 1 species